CUUUCUUCCCCCUUAUAACAACCAAACAUUGUUCCUUAAUGUAAUGUUUUCAAAAUCAAUCAUAUAAAAAAACACUUCAAAUAUUUCAAACUUGUUUUGAAAACAAGUUCUCACAAAAACAGUUUCCAAUCACAAGUUUAGAGUUGUAAUUGGCAGAGGGAAGCGCUGAUAGUGGGACGAUGGCACUCAUCAACCACUCACAGGCAAGAGGCACAUGCAGGGAGGCAUACAAAUUUGAAACCUUGCAUACGCAACCUCCGGUGAUGUGACGGCGAAGAAUAUUCUUUAGACUUUAAGGUAAGUGGAUAUGCAGACAUCUAAGCAUUCUUGGGAAAACUCUCAUUCCUACACCGCAUCCUCUAUUUUUACCUUACUUCAAAAGAAAAAUAUCAUAUGGAGACUCAAAUCUAAAAUAAUUCUCAAUCAAAUCUCCUAUCGAUUAGAUGACGUUUUAUUUAUUUUUGUCAUUUUUGGCUAGUUAAUAACGGUAACUUAUAAUAUUACAUUCGAUUGAUUAGUGUUUUUCCUUUAUUGUUUAGGAUUUAAUUAGAUGUUUGUCCAUUCUAAGAGAAGAUUAAUUAGAUGUUUGCUCGUUACAAGGAAAGAAAAAGAUGUUCGAAUCAACAUCAAUUUUUAUUAGACUAAUGAAUUGAUUUGGACGAUGUAAGAGUUGUCUUAGUUGACUUUGUGCUCUAAUCAAAUAUCUUUAUCCAACGUGAAGUUAAUUAUAUUAUGUAACCUUACUCUUGUGGCAUAGGGAGAAGUGACCAAUUAAUAUUGGUCACACUUUGGCCAUUUAUAUGGCAAUUAACAAAUAAAUUACUUCAAUUAAAAUGUUGUCACACGUAAGAAAAGGUCAUGGUGUUAACUAAAUAAGGUCAAGUGGUCAAGUUGCAUUGUUGCACUUUAGCCACGUAUAUGACAAAUGAUUAAAUUUAUUGGAUUGAAGUUCUAUCAUAUAAUAUAAAAAUGUAAUAAUAUCGAGUCUCAUAAAAACCAUGGGAGGUUUACCUAGUCGUUAAUUUCAAGGCCUAAUGGGAUCAGUCGAUGUGCAUGUAAGACCCCGACAUCCAAAGUUAUAAAAAAUAAUAAUAAAAAGAUAAUAAUAUUAAUCAAAUUAAGUAAUUGAAAAUCCUUCAUAUGGUCUGUCUAUUCAAUUUAUUUUUUGAAAUAUUUUUUAUUUUUACUUUUUCUUUCAUUAUUUUAUAUAUAUAUAUAUAUAUAAAAGAAAGAAGUUUGGAAAUUUGAAGAAAAAUAUAAAACAAUUUCUGAAGAUGGUUAAAAAUUUUGACCAAUAAGAAAAAAGGAAGAAAAUAUUUUUUGAAAUUAAACUUGCAUUUUAUUUUUCCCUUAUCCUUCUUCUUCCUAUUCAGAAAUAAAAUUUUACAAACAAAAAAAAAAGGAAGAAUGGAUGAAAAAACGGAAUAUUAAAUUUUUUUUAUUAAUGGGAAUGAAAGAUAUAAAGAAAAAAAAAUCAUUAUAUAAAGCCUAUAUUUAAACAUCAUUUUCCAAGUAAAUAAAUAAUUAAAAAUUGCCAAUUAUGGCUACCAUAAUGACACCUCGUGAAUUGUGAUAAAUAAAGGAGUUUGACCGAGGAGAUUAUAAAAAGAAGAAAAUUAAAAAAUUAAAAUAGAGAACGAAAGAGAGAGGAAAAGAUGCGUUGCCCACUGAGUCGUUAAUACCCUCUUUGAUAACUCCUUUCAAAAAAUAGGUUUUAAGACUAAAUAACCAUUUAAAAAUAAUUAUUUUUUAAAAAUAAUAUUUUAAAAUUUGUUUUUUUAAUAUUGUAAAUAAAAAAUUUGUUUAAAAGCUUAAAAUGUUUUUAAUAUUUUAAAAAUAAUUUCUAUAUUUAAUAUUUUAUUUUUAAAUUUCUUAAAAUAGUAUUAAGAAAAAGAUAAUAAUAAAAAAUAUUUUAUAAAAACAUCAUUUUUCUGUUUUUAAUGUUAAACAUCCGUAAUAAAAAUAAGAAAUAUAAUAAAAUAGGGACUAGAGAAGUGAAAAUAAAAUAAAAUAUACAUUUCAUUUUACUUUUAACUUUUUCAUAUUAUAUAUAUAUAUAUAUAUAUAUAUAUAAUUUUUAAAGCAUUUAAAUAAAUAGAUAAUUCUUUGUCUAAAUUUUAUUUUCUUUUUUUAAUUAUAUAUAAAAAGUAUAGAUUUUUCAAUUUAAAAAUAAUAAUUUUAAAAUUCAAGAUAAUAAAAAAUUUUGUUACGUCAAUGUUUUAAAUAUUUUUAAAAUCAUUAUUUUUUAAUAUAAAUAUUUAUUAAAGAUAUUAUUAUUUUCUAAUUUAAGUUCAUUCGUUUUAGGCAUUUGUGUUAUUUCAUGUGAAUAUACCCCGUCAACUAAGCUGAACGUAAUUUUCAGGCCAAACGGGACGUAAGAAAUAUCUGAGGUGUGAAAUAAUUUCGAAGUGGGAAACAGAUGUGUACACAUGUGAUGGUUACAGCUGGCAGGCUUACACGGCCACAUCACCUCUCACCUCCAUGUUGCAUUUUAGAAUAAAAAAUCAGGGCUACUAUCUGUCAUCCCACUGAGGCUAUCUCAACCAAAAAAAAGAAGACACGUGUCCCAGAAGAGUCCACAAAUGCCUCAAAAGACACUUGUGACCUUACGGUACUCUUCUCUGCUGUCUACAACACAAUCAUGCUUCCAUUUGUUACGAGGCCAAAUCACGUGAUGUCACAUGGCCAAUUCCCUCUUGCAUUCUGCCCUUUCUUUCACCAAUAUCUUAUUGCCAUCUGUAAUUCCCCUUCCUUUCAUCUCUUUCGAUUCAACAACACUUGUGUUUUUUGUUGGGAUUAGAAUCAUUAGAUUCAACUCCGAUAUGAUUGAAUAGCGUAAGGGCAC
rnacentral:lncRNA from 1 species